rnacentral:rRNA from 1 species
GUAGGUGGCAAGCGUUGUCCGGAAUUAUUGGGCGUAUAGCGCGCGCAGGCGGUUCUUUAAGUCUGAUGUGAAAGCCCACGGCUCAACCGUGGAGGGUCAUUGGAAACUGGAGAACUUGAGUACAGAAGAGGAAAGCGGAAUUCCACGUGUAGCGGUGAAAUGCGUAGAGAUGUGGAGGAACACCAGUGGCGAAGGCGGCUUUCUGGUCUGUAACUGACGCUGAGGCGCGAAAGCGUGGGGGAGCAAACAGGAUUAGGUACCCUGGUAGUCCACGCCGUGAACGAUGAGUGCUAAGUGUUAGGGGGUUUCCGCCCCUUAGUGCUGCAGCUAACGCAUUAAGCACUCCGCCUGGGAGUACGGCCGCAAGGCUG